rnacentral:rRNA from 1 species
UGCAAGUCGAGCGGGCGUAGCAAUACGUCAGCGGCAGACGGGUGAGUAACGCGUGGGAACGUACCUUUUGGUUCGGAACAACACAGGGAAACUUGUGCUAAUACCGGAUAAGCCCUUACGGGGAAAGAUUUAUCGCCGAAAGAUCGGCCCGCGUCUGAUUAGCUAGUUGGUGAGGUAAUGGCUCACCAAGGCGACGAUCAGUAGCUGGUCUGAGAGGAUGAUCAGCCACAUUGGGACUGAGACACGGCCCAAACUCCUACGGGAGGCAGCAGUGGGGAAUAUUGGACAAUGGGGGCAACCCUGAUCCAGCCAUGCCGCGUGAGUGAUGAAGGCCCUAGGGUUGUAAAGCUCUUUUGUGCGGGAAGAUAAUGACGGUACCGCAAGAAUAAGCCCCGGCUAACUUCGUGCCAGCAGCCGCGGUAAUACGAAGGGGGCUAGCGUUGCUCGGAAUCACUGGGCGUAAAGGGUGCGUAGGCGGGUCUUUAAGUCAGGGGUGAAAUCCUGGAGCUCAACUCCAGAACUGCCUUUGAUACUGAGGAUCUUGAGUUCGGGAGAGGUGAGUGGAACUGCGAGUGUAGAGGUGAAAUUCGUAGAUAUUCGCAAGAACACCAGUGGCGAAGGCGGCUCACUGGCCCGAUACUGACGCUGAGGCACGAAAGCGUGGGGAGCAAACAGGAUUAGAUACCCUGGUAGUCCACGCCGUAAACGAUGAAUGCCAGCCGUUAGUGGGUUUACUCACUAGUGGCGCAGCUAACGCUUUAAGCAUUCCGCCUGGGGAGUACGGUCGCAAGAUUAAAACUCAAAGGAAUUGACGGGGGCCGCACAAGCGGUGGAGCAUGUGGUUAAUUCGACGCACGCGCAGAACUUACAGCCUUGACAUGUCCAGGACGGUCGCAGAGAUGUGACCUCUCUCGAGCUGGACACAGUG